AUCUAUGGCCAUACCACACUGAAUGUUCCUGAUCUAGUCUGAUCUUGGAAGUUAAACAGAGUUGGGUCUGGUUAGUACUUGAUGGGAGAAAUAAAACAACCUCCAAAUCUGAACUGUAGAUC
rnacentral:rRNA from 1 species